GGUGAGUAACGCGUGAGCAAUCUGCCUUUAAGAGGGGGAUAACAGUCGGAAACGGCUGCUAAUACCGCAUAAAGCAUUGAAUUCGCAUGUUUUCGAUGCCAAAGGAGCAAUCCGCUUUUAGAUGAGCUCGCGUCUGAUUAGCUAGUUGGCGGGGUAACGGCCCACCAAGGCGACGAUCAGUAGCCGGACUGAGAGGUUGAACGGCCACAUUGGGACUGAGACACGGCCCAGACUCCUACGGGAGGCAGCAGUGGGGAAUAUUGCGCAAUGGGGGAAACCCUGACGCAGCAACGCCGCGUGAUUGAAGAAGGCCUUCGGGUUGUAAAGAUCUUUAAUCAGGGACGAAAAAUGACGGUACCUGAAGAAUAAGCUCCGGCUAACUACGUGCCAGCAGCCGCGGUAAUACGUAGGGAGCAAGCGUUAUCCGGAUUUACUGGGUGUAAAGGGCGCGCAGGCGGGCCGGCAAGUUGGAAGUGAAAUCCGGGGGCUUAACCCCCGAA
rnacentral:rRNA from 1 species